rnacentral:rRNA from 1 species
GCGUGCCUAAUACAUGCAAGUCGAGCGGACAGAUGGGAGCUUGCUCCCUGAUGUUAGCGGCGGACGGGUGAGUAACACGUGGGUAACCGCCUGUAAGACUGGGAUAACUCCGGGAAACCGGGGCUAAUACCGGAUGGUUGUUUGAACCGCAUGGUUCAAACAUAAAAGGUGGCUUCGGCUACCACUUACAGAUGGACCCGCGGCGCAUUAGCUAGUUGGUGAGGUAACGGCUCACCAAGGCAACGAUGCGUAGCCGACCUGAGAGGGUGAUCGGCCACACUGGGACUGAGACACGGCCCAGACUCCUACGGGAGGCAGCAGUAGGGAAUCUUCCGCAAUGGACGAAAGUCUGACGGAGCAACGCCGCGUGAGUGAUGAAGGUUUUCGGAUCGUAAAGCUCUGUUGUUAGGGAAGAACAAGUACCGUUCGAAUAGGGCGGUACCUUGACGGUACCUAACCAGAAAGCCACGGCUAACUACGUGCCAGCAGCCGCGGUAAUACGUAGGUGGCAAGCGUUGUCCGGAAUU